AUUUGUGUUGAUCUGGAAAGUAGAGGAUCAUAGUAUAAAUAUGUAAAACUAUGGAGUUUUUUUAAUGUAUUCAAAGUAUUAAAUUUUCAAAGAAAUUGUUGUGUGAAAAAAAAUCGCACUUCGUAUUCCGAAAAUUUAACCACAUAUAUGUGAAAAUGUCUUAGCUUCGAAACAAGCAAUCCUACAUAUCCAGUGUACUAUAUUCACUGCGCUAGAGUAGAAAACAUUACCAAUACCAACUACAUGUAUGCAGAAACAAUUGCGCAAAUUGCCCAGCUGAUUAUAGGGCAGAAAACCAACAUUUGGAAUGACAUGUACAAUGUAUACAACCAACACAAGACUAAAAUUUGGAAUAAAAAUUAAAAAUUCAGAAACAAACUAUUAUUUUUUUUAUUGGUUCAUGUAGCUACAUGUACAUUGUAAGAAAAAAGAAGUCUUAACUUUUGGAUGGGUCUAUCAUGUUGGUCUCUUGUGGACAGUUG
rnacentral:lncRNA from 1 species